CGGCAAUAGCUCAAAUUUGAAAUCUGGCUGUUUCACAGUCCGAGUUGUAAUUUGUAGAGGAUGCUUCGGCUUCGGCCCUGGUCUAAGUUCCUUGGAACAGGACGUCACAGAGGGUGAGAAUCCCGUUUGUGGCCGGCGGCCCCCGCCAUGUGAAGCUCCUUCGAC
rnacentral:rRNA from 1 species